rnacentral:rRNA from 1 species
AGAGUUUGAUCCUGGCUCAGAACGAACGCUGGCGGCGUGGAUAAGACAUGCAAGUCGAACGAGACUUUUCGUUGUAGCAAUACGAUGGAAAGUUUAGUGGCGAACGGGUGCUUAACACGUGGGCAACCUGCCAGGAAGUGGGGGGAUAGCUCGCCGAAAGGCGAAUUAAUACCGCAUGUGAUUAGAGAGGACAUCCUUUCAAAAUUAAAGUCGGGGCAACCUGACGCUUCUUGUGGGGCCCGCGGCCUAUCAGCUAGUUGGUGAGGUGACGGCCCACCAAGGCUUUGACGGGUAGCUGGUCUGAGAGGACGACCAGCCACACUGGGACUGAGACACGGCCCAGACACCUACGGGUGGCAGCAGUCGAGAAUUUUUGACAAUGGGGGAAACCCUGAUCGAGCGACGCCGCGUGGAGGAUGAAGGUCUUCGGAUUGUAAACUCCUGUCAUUGGGGAACAAUGCACAGAUAUUAACUGUAUUUGUGUUGAUAGUACCCGAAGAGGAAGGGACGGCUAACUCUGUGCCAGCAGCCGCGGUAAUACAGAGGUCUCAAGCGUUGUUCGGAUUCAUUGGGCGUAAAGGGUGCGUAGGCGGCGCGGUAAGUCGGGUGUGAAAUCUCGGGGGCUUAACUCCGAAACUGCAUUCGAUACUGCCGUGCUUGAGGACUGGAGAGGAGACUGGAAUUUACGGUGUAGCGGUGAAAUGCGUAGAUAUCGUAAGGAAGACCAGUGGCGAAGGCGGGUCUCUGGACAGUUCCUGACGCUGAGGCACGAAGGUCAGGGGAGCAAACNNNAUUAGAUACCCUAGUAGUCC